CGCCUACGGGGGGCAGCAGUGGGGAAUAUUGCACAAUGGGGGAAACCCUGAUGCAGCGACGCCGCGUGAGUGAAGAAGUAUUUCGGUAUGUAAAGCUCUAUCAGCAGGGAAGAAAAUGACGGUACCUGACUAAGAAGCCCCGGCUAACUACGUGCCAGCAGCCGCGGUAAUACGUAGGGGGCAAGCGUUAUCCGGAUUUACUGGGUGUAAAGGGAGCGUAGACGGCGAAGCAAGUCUGAUGUGAAAGGCAGGGGCUCAACCCCUGGACUGCAUUGGAAACUGUUUUGCUAGAGUGCCGGAGAGGG
rnacentral:rRNA from 1 species